UACGUAGGUGGCUAGCGUUAUCCGGAAUUACUGGGCGUAAAGGGUGCGUAGGCGGCUUUGUAAGUCAGUGGUGAAAUACUCCAGCUUAACUGGAGGGGUGCCAUUGAUACUGCGGAGCUUGAGUACAGAUGAGGUAGGCGGAAUUGACGGUGUAGCGGUGAAAUGCAUAGAUAUCGUCAAGAACACCGAUAGCGAAGGCAGCUUACUGGGCUGUAACUGACGCUGAUGCACGAAAGUGUGGGGAUCAAACAGG
rnacentral:rRNA from 1 species